rnacentral:rRNA from 1 species
AGAAUCAACGCUGGCGGCGUGCAUCAGACAUGCAAGUCGAACGAUUAAACUCCCCUUCGGGGGAGAUAUAAAGUGGCGCACGGGUGAGUAACACGUAGGUAAUUUGCCUUCGGGUGGGGAAUAACAGCCGGAAACGGCUGCUAAUACCGCAUAAUGCAGCGGCACCACACGGUGACAGUUGUUAAAGCGGGGGAUCGCAAGACCUCGCGCCUGAAGAGAAGCCUGCGGCAGAUUAGCUAGUUGGUAGGGUAAUGGCCUACCAAGGCUACGAUCU